rnacentral:rRNA from 1 species
AGAGCGCAGGGUGGAUGCCUUGGCACUAAGAGCCGAUGAAAGACGUGAUAAGCUGCGAUAAGCUACGGGGAGGAGCACAUAUCCAUUGAUCCGUAGAUUUCUGAAUGGGGAAACCCGGCUGAGCAUACCUCAGUCACCGUGCACUGAAUCCAUAGGUGUACGGAGGGAACCCGGUGAACUGAAACAUCUAAGUAGCCGGAGGAAGAGAAAGAAAACUCGAUUUUCAAAGUAGCGGCGAGCGAAAUGGAAAGAGCCCAAACCGGAGUGCGUGCACUCCGGGGUUCGGACUGCAUUUAUGACUUCUGACUGUAGCGGAACGGUUCUGGAAAGACCGGCCAGAGAGGGUGAGAGCCCCGUAGGCGAAACGGAAAGAAGCAGAGCAGGAUCCAGAGUACCACGAGACACGAGAAACCUUGUGGGAAUGAGCGGGGACCACCCCGUAAGGCUAAAUACUCCUUAGUGACCGAUAGAGCAUAGUACUGUGAAGGAAAGGUGAAAAGGACCCCGGGAGGGGAGUGAAAGAGAACCUGAAACCCUGUGUUUACAAACUGUGGAAGUACCAUACGAGUACAACCGCGUACUUUUUGUAGAACGGUCCGGCGAGUUACGUUUACUGGCGAGGUUAAGCACUUAAGGUGCGGAGCCGAAGGGAUACCAAGUCUUAACAGGGCGUAAAGUCAGUGUACGUAGACCCGAAACCGGGUGAUCUACCCAUGUCCAGGCUGAAGUUGCCGUAAAAGGCAAUGGAGGGCCGAACGCACAUCCGUUGAAAAGGGUGGCGAUGAGGUGUGGGUAGGGGAGAAAUUCCAAUCGAACCCGGAGAUAGCUGGUUCUCCUCGAAAUAGCUUUAGGGCUAGCCUCGUGUUAACCUUGUGGAGGUAGAGCACUGAAUUUCCUAGGGGGCGUCAAAGUCUACCGAAGAAUAUCAAACUCCGAAUGCCAUAAAGGUGAUGCACGGGAGUCAGACUGCACGAGAUAAGUUGGGUGGUCAAAAGGGAAAGAGCCCAGACCUACAGCUAAGGUCCCAAAGUGCGUGUUAAGUGGAAAAGGAUGUGGGAUUUCGAAGACAACUAGGAUGUUGGCUCAGAAGCAGCCAUACAUUCAAAGAGUGCGUAAUAGCUCACUAGUCGAGAGGUCCUGCGCCGAAAAUGUCCGGGGCUAAAACACGACACCGAAGCUUAGGAAUGUAGAAAUACAUUGGUAGAGGAGCAUUGUUAGCGCAGCGAAGCUGUACCGAUAAGGAGCAGUGGAGUGCUAAGAAGAGAGAAUGCCGGAAUGAGUAGCGAGAGGAAGGUGAGAAUCCUUCCGGCCGAAUAUCCAAGGUUUCCAGAGUAAAGCUGAUCUGCUCUGGGUAAGUCGGGGCCUAAGGCGAGGUCGAAAGACGUAGUCGAUGGAUAACAGGUGGAGAUUCCUGUACUAUGUGUACCCAGAAAUGUGGGGACGCAUGUGGAGAGCACGAGCCGGGAAAGAGAAGACCGGUACAAGCGGGGUAGGAGUAAGGACAGCAAAUCUUCCUUACAAUCCGAAGACGUAAUGUGGACCGAACCAAAGUAGGGAAGCGUGUGAGCCAUGUGCCAAGAAAAGCCGCUAUUGUGAUACACAUACCCGUACCGUAAACCGACACAGGUGGAUGAGGAGAGAAUCCUAAGGCCGACGGAAGAAGCAUUGUUAAGGAACUCGGCAAAAUGACCCCGUAACUUCGGGAGAAGGGGUGCCCUGUGAAAGCAGGGCCGCAGAGAAUAGGCUCAAGCAACUGUUUAGCAAAAACACAGGUCUAUGCGAAACCGAAAGGUGAGGUAUAUGGGCUGACGCCUGCCCGGUGCUGGAAGGUUAAGAGGAGAAGUCAGGCAACGAAGCUUCGAAUUUAAGCCCCAGUAAACGGCGGCCGUAACUAUAACGGUCCUAAGGUAGCGAAAUUCCUUGUCGGGUAAGUUCCGACCCGCACGAAAGGCGUAAUGAUUUGAGCACUGUCUCGACAAUGCAUCCGGUGAAAUUGAAGUACCAGUGAAGAUGCUGGUUACCUGCGCCAGGACGGAAAGACCCCAUGGAGCUUUACUCCAGCUUGAUACUGGGAUUCGAUACUGUAUGUACAGGAUAGGUGGGAGACGUUGAGCAUAGAACGCCAGUUUUAUGUGAGUCGCUGUUGGGAUACCACCCUUGCAGUAUUGGAUUUCUAACCUGCACCCAUGACCUGGGUGGGGGACAAUGUCUGGCGGGGAGUUUGACUGGGGCGGUCGCCUCCGAAAGGGUAUCGGAGGCGCUCAAAGG